CUUAAAGCAAGUCAUCCUUGUAGAGUCUGGGGAAGAGCAUUCCAAGAAGGGGAGCAGUGAGGGUGAAAGCCCUGGAACAGGGAUGCCGAGAAACAACAAGUGGGGUCAGGGUCCCUGGAGAAGAGUGAGUUUGUUGGGGGAAGAGCGAGAGGGCAGGUCGGGCACAAAGGACCAUCGAGGUUUGGGGAACGGCACAGGCGAAGACUUAGGGAGGAAAGUAUAGAUGGCAUCUUGUUUGUCCUUGACCGGGUCCAAAACUGUGCAGCUGUCAGCAGUGGAAGAUGUCGAUUUCCAGCCCCUAACUGCUGAAGGAUUUCUACUCACUAGUAAAGUCUUUGUGCCACUCAGCUCGUCUCCAACGCUUGUCUUGUAUCCGGAGGAACCUUCCCGCCCUUGUCCUUGUGUGUGUUCAGGCAUGCAUGAGUGCACCUCUUCCAUCACUGCCUGAAAAUGGCUGAAUCUACUUUUUUACGGAACAUACGUUCCAUGAGGGUAAAGAUCUUUGUUUUGUCCGCUGAUCUCGCCUCAGCACCUGGGAGAGAUUCUGGCCCAUGCUGUGAGACUGAGAACUGAAAUCCUG
rnacentral:lncRNA from 1 species